CUUCUGUGGAGGAUAUACUUGUCCUUUCUUGCCAAAAGGAGGCUAACGAGGAGGACCUGAGCCCUAGGACCAUGCCUCAGGACUACCUGGCAUGAUGACUCCUUGCUGUCCACAGUCCACCUGGCCGUGCUGCUACUCCAGUUUCAACUGUUCUGCCUGCGGCUAUGGAACCCUGACCUGUUCACCGGACGUGCUACCUGUCUCACACCUGCUGUUUUAAACUCUCUAGAGACAGCAGGAGCGGUAGAGAUGCUCCUAAUGAUCGGCUAUGAAAAUGUUAUAAUCUGUUAUAAUCUCCACCCGGCACAGCCAGAAGAGGACUGGCCACCCCUCAUAGCCUGGUUCCUCUCUAGGUUUCUUCCUAGGUUUUGGCCUUUCUAGGGAUUUUUUCCUAGCCACAUGCUUCUACACCUGCAUUGCUUGCUGCUUGGGGUUUUAGGCUGGGUUUCUGUACAGCACUUUGAGAUAUCAGCUGAUGUAAGAAGGGCUAUAUAAAUUGAUUUGAUUUGAACAGUUGAUGUUGAGAUGUGUCUGUUACUUGAACUCUAUGAAGCAUUUAUUUGGGCUGCAAUUUCUGAGGCUGGUAACUCUAAUGAACUUAUCCUCUACAGCAGAAGGUAACUCUGGGUCUUCCUUUCCUGUGGCGGUCCUCAUGAGAGCCAGUUUCAU
ensembl:lncRNA